AAGACCCUGUGGGGUUCGCGAUUGCGCCAAGUGUGGAACCUCUGACGUAUUCUUCGGGAUCUGUCCCCGGCUGUGUUGUGCAUGCCCACCUUGUAGUGGGAAGCCUGAAGCAGCCACACGGAACCCCCUUUGUGACAACAAAGGGGUUCCGCUUAGCGCUACACGACGGCCUUUUCGGGGCAAGG
rnacentral:other from 1 species